GCUAGGAGGACAAAAGUUGGGAUAGAGCUGGCUGGGAGGAUGUGCCCGCUGAAGUUGCUGUCUUCUUCCUUCUCUCACUGUUUUUAGCCGAUAAAAAAAGUACAAAAAGAUAAGUAAACAUUCAUUAAUUUCAAUAUUGAAUGUAAACAUACCUGUGAUCUCUCUCUUUUCCUGCUAAUUUGGCUCCCAGUUUGACUAGAUGUAAGUGGUAUCUUAUUUCUUCUUCACCUUGUCCUUCUUAGGGCCUUAAUUUGUAAGUCCUAGAGUUAUGGCCCUACUAUUGGCAAUUUUUGUACCUUAAGGAUGUACCCUUCCUUCUGUAUCUACUAGAAUCUUUUGGCUCAUCCUUUUCUUUUCUUCUUGCCUUCUUGGGUCUACUUGGAAAAGCCCUUAGAGGAGGGAGAAUACAAUGGGGUAUUUUGUCCUUGGCCAAGAUUUCAUGCUUGGUACCGGCUCAAUGAUAUAUUCAUAGGCCAAUGCCCAUAUUACUUUAGUGUAGCAUACACUAACAAAAUAUUCUGCUUCCUUCCUAACAUACAUAAUAGCUACUACAGCAUGGCAGCAUGGCUUGCCAGUUAAAUCCCAUACCCUAUAUCCACAUAUACUCUCCUCUAAAUCAAC
rnacentral:lncRNA from 1 species